AGAUGACAGAAAAUCUUAAAUGUUAUUUCAUAAGUAGAUGAAGCAAGAGAGAGUGUUUAUAAUACUGGAGUUCAAACAACUUUGCUUCGAUUCAUCUUGUCACUGUUCUCUAGUUAUGAGGGGGGCUACAGCGUCGAGAAACUGCGCAGACAACAAAAUGUGAGCUAUACACGGAUGCAGGAAACAAGGAGAAAUGUUCCUUUGGGGUUUUCGCCAAUUAGAGAAAUCCGGAGGAGAGAAGCAGGGCAGUGGCGGCACAGCGGAAACAGUGUUGGAGAUUGAAGCUACUCUUCCUCCAGCUCGUGAGGCAAGCUUCUACCACUUACUCUGCCUUUAUAAAUGUCCGUCUGUCCACUUUACAGACAAGGAAAGUGCUGGAAGUCGAAUUUAAGUUGAGCUUGGUUAUUCUAAGGCUCUCUGCUCAGCACUGGUUAGCC
rnacentral:lncRNA from 1 species